AUCGCUUCUCGGCCUUUUGGCUAAGAUCAAGUGUAGUAUCUGUUCUUAUCAGUUUAAUAUCUGAUACGUCCUCUAUCCGAGGACAAUAUAUUAAAUGGAUUUUGGAGCAGGGAGAUGGAAUAGGAGCUUGCUCCAUCCACUCCACAUCGACCUAGUAUUGCAGUACCUCCAGGAACGGUACACCCCUC
rnacentral:snRNA from 1 species